GACGUAGGGCGCGAGCGUUGUCCGGAUUUAUUGGGCGUAAAGAGUUCGUAGGCGGUCAGUCGCGUCUGCUGUGAAAACUCGGGGCUUAACUCCGGGCCUGCAGUGGGUACGGGCUGACUAGAGUGCGGUAGGGGAGACUGGAAUUCCUGGUGUAGCGGUGAAAUGCGCAGAUAUCGGGAGGAACACCAGUAGCGAAGGCGGCUCGCUGGGCCAUUCCUGACGCUGAGACGCGAAAGCUAGGGGAGCGAACAGG
rnacentral:rRNA from 1 species